UACGUAGGGAGCGAGCGUUGUCCGGAUUUAUUGGGCGUAAAGAGCGUGUAGGCGGCCAAGCAGGUCCGCUGUGAAAACUCGAGGCUCAACCUCGAGACGUCGGUGGAAACCGUUUGGCUAGAGUCCGGAAGAGGAGAGUGGAAUUCCCGGUGUAGCGGUGAAAUGCGCAGAUAUCGGGAAGAACACCCGUGGCGAAGGCGGCUCUCUGGGACGGUACUGACGCUGAGACGCGAAAGCGUGGGGAGCGAACAGG
rnacentral:rRNA from 1 species